rnacentral:rRNA from 1 species
CCCUUAGAUGUUCUGGGCCGCACGCGUGCUACACUGGGUGGAUCAGCGGGUCAGGUUGCGCGAAAGCGUUUCCUAAUCUUUAAAUCCGCUCGUGAUGGGGAUUGACGGUUGCAAUUUUCUGUCAUGAACGAGGAAUACCUUGUAAGCGCGGGUCAUCAUCCCGCGCUGAAUACGUCCCUGCCCUUUGUACACACCGCCCGUCGCUACUACCGAUUGAACGGUUUAGUGAGGGCCUCGGAUUGGUCUCGGCCCGCUCUUUACCGGGCGGCGCCGUUGGUCGAGAAGACGCUCGAACUUGAUCGUUUAGAGGAAGUAAAAGUCGUAACA